rnacentral:rRNA from 1 species
AGCAGCCGCGGUAAUUCCAGCGCCAAUAGCGUAUAUUAAAGUUGUUGCAGUUAAAAAGCUCGUAGUUGAAUUUCGGGGUCAGCAGGUUGGUCGUGCCUCUGGUACGCACUGGUUUCGCUGAUUCCUCCUUUCUGAAGAACUGUAAUGUCAUUAAUUUGGUGUUGCAGGGAAACAGGACUGUUACUUUGAAAAAAUUAGAGUGUUUAAAGCAAGCUAACGCUUGAAUACAUUAGCAUGGAAUAAUGAAAUAGGACGUUUGAUCCUAUUUUGUUGGUUUCUAGGAUUGACGUAAUGAUUAAUAGGGAUAGUUGGGGGCAUUAGUAUUCAAUUGUCAGAGGUGAAAUUCUUGGAUUUAUUGAAGACUAACUACUGCGAAAGCAUUUGCCAAGGAUGUUUUCAUUAAUCAAGAACGAAAGUUAGGGGAUCGAAGACGAUCAGAUACCAUCGUAGUCUUAACCAUAAACUAUGCCGACUAGGGAUCGUAUGAUGUUAAUUUUUUAAUGACUCA